rnacentral:rRNA from 1 species
UAGGGCGCAAGCCUGAUGCAGCGACGCCGCGUGAGUGAAGAAGGCCUUCGGGUCGUAAAGCUCUUUUCUGCGUGACGAGCAAGGACGGUAGCGCAGGAAUAAGUCUCGGCUAACUACGUGCCAGCAGCCGCGGUAAAACGUAGGAGACAAACGUUAUCCGGAGUUACUGGGCGUAAAGGGCGUGCAGGCGGUCUGUUAAGUCUGGCGUGAAAGCUCUCGGCUAAACCGGGAGAGGUCGUUGGAUACUGACGGACUAGAGGACGGUAGAGGCGUGUGGAAUUCCGGGUGUAGUGGUGAAAUGCGUAGAGAUCCGGAGGAACACCAGUGGCGAAGGCGACACGCUGGGCCGUACCUGACGCUAAGACGCGACAGCAUGGGGAGCGAACGGGAUUAGAAACCCCGGUAGUCCAUGCCGUAAACGAUGCCAGCUAGGUGUUCAAGACGCGCAAGCGGCUGGGGUACCGAAGCCAACGCGAUAAGCUGGCCGCCUGGGGAGUACGGUCGCAAGGCUA